rnacentral:rRNA from 1 species
GACGAACGCUGGCGGCGUGCUUAACACAUGCAAGUCGAACGGAAAGGCCCUGCUUGCAGGGUACUCGAGUGGCGAACGGGUGAGUAACACGUGGGUGAUCUGCCCUGCACUUCGGGAUAAGCCUGGGAAACUGGGUCUAAUACCGGAUAGGAGCCAUUUUUAGUGUGAUGGUUGGAAAGUUUUUUCGGUGUAGGAUGAGCUCGCGGCCUAUCAGCUUGUUGGUGGGGUAAUGGCCUACCAAGGCGGCGACGGGUAGCCGGCCUGAGAGGGUGGACGGCCACAUUGGGACUGAGAUACGGCCCAGACUCCUACGGGAGGCAGCAGUGGGGAAUAUUGCACAAUGGGCGCAAGCCUGAUGCAGCGACGCCGCGUGGGGGAUGACGGCCCUCGGGUUGUAAACGCCUUUCGCUAGGGACGAAGCUUUUUGUGACGGUACCUAGAGAAGAAGCACCGGCUAACUACGUG